rnacentral:rRNA from 1 species
AUACGCAGGUGCCAAGCGUUAUCCGGAUUUACUGGGCGUAAAGGGCGUGUAGGCGGUCUUGCAAGUCAGAAGUGAAAUUCCUGAGCUCAACUCGGGCGCUGCUUCUGAAACUGCAGGACUUGAGUGCUGGAGGGGAUAGCGGAAUUCCUAGUGGAGCGGUAAAAUGCGCAGAUAUUAGGAAGAACACCGGUGGCGAAGGCGGCUAUCUGGACAGUAACUGACGCUGAGGCGCGAAAGCGUGGGGAGCAAACGGGAUUAGAUACCCUGAUAGUCCACGCCGUAAACGAUGAAUACUAGGUGUAGGGGGUAUCGACUCCCUCUGUGCCGCAGUUAACACAAUAAGUAUUCCGCCUGGGGAGUACGGCCGCAAGGUUGAAACUCAAAGGAAUUGACGGGU